UUACUCCCUCCCAUAGCUAUUAUUAUACUGAUAGAUUCAUUUCGGAAAGUAAAACAGAAAUUUCUUACACAAGUCCUUUGUUUUUCCCUCGAAUUUUCAUCUGUUUUUCUCCUUUCUCAUGCUCAUAUACUUAUUGUUUCUACUUUGUUUCUGAGUUAUUGAGCCGUCUAUUUUCUGUUUUGAACAUUACAUCCACAUAUUUUUUCUUCUCAUACAUCCUCAUGUCGUUAUUACUUUCGACUUCCUCAUCCAUUUCUAGAAAGAAGUACGAUGUGUUCUUGAGUUUUAGAGGUGAAGAUACCCGCAAGAGCUUUACGGAUCAUCUCUACCAUGCUCUAAAUAGAAGUGGGAUCGUCACUUUUAGAGAUGAUCCAAAGUUGGAGGCUGGUGAAGAGAUCGCACCGGAACUCUUCAAGGCAAUUCAGCAAUCAUGGUGCUCGGUAAUCGUUUUUUCCGAGACCUAUGCCCUUUCUGGUUGGUGCUUGGAGGAGCUUGCGGAAUUGUUAAACAAAAAAAAUGACAAGGCUCAUAAAGUAUUUCUAAUUUUCUACCAUGUUGAUCCAUCUGAUUUAAGAAAACAAAAAGGAAAAGUUGAAGAAGCCUUUGCCAAACAGGAAGAAAGAUACAAGGAAGAUAAAUACAAGAUCCAAAAGUGGCGAAAUGCUUUGACUGAAGUGGCUAACAUCUCGGGAUGGCAUUUAAAUAAUAGAUCGGAAUUUAAUUUCUUUGUAGGCACGAAUCAGAGUUUAUCAAAGAUAUUGUUAAGAAGAUAUCAGCGAAAUUAUGUCAAACAUAUCCAAUUGUUCAUGAUGAGUUGGUUGGAAUUAGUUUACCUUUGGAGGAGUUGUAUUCAAAAAUAAACAUUGGGGAAGACGAUGUCCGCAUUAUUGGAAUUUGCGGAAUGGGUGGCAUCGGUAAAACAACUCUUGCAAAAGUUGCUUACGCUCAAAUGUUGCCUCAUUUUGAAGGCAUUUGCAAAUUCAGUAGAAAAGAUUGAUAUUAUUAUGCCCGGAGGUGAAAUCCCAGAAUGGUUUAGCCAACAAAAAAAUGAGUCUUCAAUAAAGAUACACCUACCUAUCAACCUUCGGAAAGAUAGUCAAUGGGUUGGAGUUGCUUGUUGCUGCAUUUUUGUCAGUAAUGAUGCUUCAAGUGAUGACGAGUCUAUCGGUUGUCGAGCAUGUCUCUAUUGUAGAAAUUCUGAACAAGCCAGCUGUAUUGGAUCUAUUUUUCGAAGUAAUUAUUGGACUGGCUGGGGGUUGAAAAAACCAAUAAUGAAAGAUCACCUUUUUCUUCCUUGUUGGUCUCGUGAUAAAUUAUAUCCUUCCUUGGUGGAUAAAUAUGAUGACUGUGAAACCAAUAAUUUAUGGACAACAGAUUGUUUAGAUCAGAUAUGCAAUGAGCUUGAGGUGUGUUUCGCAUCUUCAUUUGGACGCAAUACUAAAGUGAAGAAGUGCAGUGUUAGAAUAGUGUAUGAGACAGAUUUGGAUGAAAUAAAA